UACGUAGGGGGCUAGCGUUAUCCGGAAUUACUGGGCGUAAAGGGUGCGUAGGCGGUCUUUCAAGCCAGAAGUGAAAGGCUACGGCUCAACCGUAGUAAGCUUUUGGAACUGUAAGACUUGAGUGCAGGAGAGGAGAGUGGAAUUCCUAGUGUAGCGGUGAAAUGCGUAGAUAUUAGGAGGAACACCAGUAGCGAAGGCGGCUCGCUGGACUGUAACUGACGCUGAGGCACGAAAGCGUGGGAAGCAAACAGGAUUAGAUACCCUGGUAGUCCCU
rnacentral:rRNA from 1 species